AGCCCAUGGUGAGGGCACCUUCUCAAGAGGUCCUUGUAGCUCUCCCAUGCAUCAUAGAGUGUUUCUAGAUCCAUCUGCACAAAAGAAGAGAUAUCAUUCCUUAAUUU
rfam:Gossypium arboreum cultivar AKA8401 contig_18309_1, whole genome shotgun sequence.